AAGAAGAAGAGGAAGAAGACAGUUUGUGUUUGACAGCGAGAGGGAGAGAAAGAAAGUGAGAGAGAAUGACGAAGAGGAAGAUGAUGAGCGGCGAAGAAUCGAAGUGGAUGAUGGAGAUACUCAACGCCGGAGACCAACGCCCCUUCGAUGAACUCCUCGCCGACUUCAACUCCAAAUUCCCCCCUCGCCUUCUCCUCCGCCGUUUUCACCUCUCAUCUUCUCUCUCCAUUCUCCUAGAGAACAAAAAGACUCUGAAAUCUACUCAGCGAUUGGUUGCAUUUGCCAUUCUCCAUCACUCUUACUCUGCCCAGCAUCCUUCCUCAAACCCAUUCAUAUCUUUUCUCGUUAAUGCUGCUUGUGAUGAAGAAGCUGAAAAAUAUGAAAGAGCAUUUAUUCUGCAGCUACUAGGCUCCUCCAACAAUGCCAAUUUUAAAGAGGUUCUCAAAUUGUCAGCUGCAGACUACAUCAAAGUCUUUGAUCCUUCAUCAAUUGCUUUCCUGCAACAUGAACAGUUAAAGCUUCAGUAUUGUUUCAAAGUUAAUGUGGACCCAUUUAAGCACUUAAUCAAACAGAAUUAUGUGAAAAACGUUGUACCUGACCCUGAUAUGCCUCAAGGUUGUGAUGAAAAUUCACCAGAGUAUGACCCUUACCUGUUUGAACUGCAGCCUGGAGUUAAACCAAAAAUUGGAUCUGGAGACAGAGAUGAGAUGGUAACUGGGUUGCUGCAGAAUUUAUCUCUGGAAGGAGUAGGUCCUCAGUGGAUUAGACCUCUUCCACCAAGGCUCCCAGUAUUGGAUGGAGAGCUUGUGUGGCUCAACCCUGAAAAUAAUCAUGAGUUUUUAUGGGAUCAUGGAAUGUGUGCUGACACUAGCAGAGGGGCUGCUGUUAGGGAUCUAAUUGCAAAAGCUUUGAAGGGGGCACUUGCUCCUGCUCAGCAUGAGCAAGUGUUGGUUGAAUUGACAAAUGACCCGAAGCUUGUUUACCACUGUGGCUUGACUCCAAGAAAGCUACCGGAACUGGUGGAGAACAAUCCCCUCAUUGCAGUUGAAGUGCUCAUUAAGUUGAUGAAUUCUCCUGAAAUUUCCGAAUACUUCAUUGUUCUUGUCAAUAUGGACAUGAGUCUACAUUCAAUGGAAGUUGUGAAUAGGCUUACUACAGCUGUUGAGCUUCCUACAGAAUUUGUACACAUGUACAUAACAAAUUGCAUAUCAUCUUGUGAAAAUAUCAAGGAUAAAUACAUGCAGAACAGACUUGUGAGACUUGUGUGUGUUUUCCUACAGAGCCUAAUCCGGAACAAAAUUAUCAAUGAUGAUGCGGAAACUUAAUAAAGGUGACCCAGAAAAUGAAUAAGUUGAAGGCAUUAAUGGCUGUCCAGUUGGGGAAAGCAGUUCAAGAUCUUUUCAUUGAGGUUCAAGCAUUCUGCAUCGAGUUCUCCAGGAUCCGAGAAGCAGCUGGACUGUUUAGGCUUCUUAAAACCAUGGAGUGAACCGACGUCUUCCUUGACUUUCUUCCGUUGCUUGUUAGUUCAAGUCGACUUUCUUUCUUUCCCCUCUUUCUCCUUGAUGUAUCUUUUCUUGUUAGCAAUGGUAACAGAUGUUAGUUGUUGCAGUAGUAACUAGUAGGGUAGUAAGUAGUAGUAGUAGGUCCUUGGGACUUCUUGUUUUAACAGAAAAUCUCAAACCUCAGUACACAAUGGCUCUGCUGUUAAGAAGAGAUAAUAUGCUGCUGCUGCUGCUGCUUUUGGAUUUAAUCAGGCUCAGGCCGCCGCAUGCUCUGCAUUUAAUGUGUGUGUACAUAUAUUGUGGCCUCUCUUUCAAUAACAAAAAUGAUGUGGCAUACUGCUUUUGGAUUAA